rnacentral:rRNA from 1 species
CCCUUGCUUGUCUCAAAGAUUAAGCCAUGCAUGUCUAUGCACAAGCCGAAUAUGGUGAAGCCGCGAAUGGCUCAUUACAACAGCCACUGUUUACUUGAUCUUGAUUAUCCUACUUGGAUAACUGUGGUAAUUCUAGAGCUAAUACACGCAAUAAAGCUCCGACCUUACGGGACGAGCGCAUUUAUUAGACCAAAACCAAUCGGGCUUCGGCCUGAACGGUGGUGACUCUGAAUAACUGAGCUGAUCGCAUGGUCUUUGUACCGGCGACGCAUCUUUCAAGUGUCUGCCUUAUCAACUUUCGAUGGUAGUUUAUGUGCCUACCAUGGUUGUUACGGGUAACGGAGAAUAAGGGUUCGACUCCGGAGAGGGAGCCUGAGGAACGGCUACCACAUCCAAGGAAGGCAGCAGGCGCGCAAAUUACCCACUCUCGGCACGAGGAGGUAGUGACGAAAAAUAACGAGGCGGUUCUCUAAGAGGCCCGCUAUCGGAAUGGGUACAAUUAAACCCUUAACGAGA